rnacentral:rRNA from 1 species
GUGGGGAAUUUUGGACAAUGGGCGAAAGCCUGAUCCAGCAAUGCCGCGUGCAGGAUGAAGGCCCUCGGGUUGUAAACUGCUUUUGUACGGAACGAAAAGCCUGGGGCUAAUAUCCCCGGGUCAUGACGGUACCGUAAGAAUAAGCACCGGCUAACUACGUGCCAGCAGCCGCGGUAAUACGUAGGGUGCAAGCGUUAAUCGGAAUUACUGGGCGUAAAGCGUGCGCAGGCGGAUGUGUAAGACAGGCGUGAAAUCCCCGGGCUCAACCUGGGAAUUGCGCUUGUGGCUGCAAGGCUGGAGUGCGGCAGAGGGGGAUGGAAUUCCGCGUGUAGCAGUGAAAUGCGUAGAUAUGCGGAGGAACACCGAUGGCGAAGGCAAUCCCCUGGGCCUGCACUGACGCUCAUGCACGAAAGCGUGGGGAGCAAACAGGAUUAGAAACCCUAGUAGUCC